rnacentral:rRNA from 1 species
GACGAACGCUGGCGGCGUGCUUAACACAUGCAAGUCGAACGGAAAGGCCCUGCUUUUGUGGGGUGCUCGAGUGGCGAACGGGUGAGUAACACGUGAGUAACCUGCCCUUGACUUUGGGAUAACUUCAGGAAACUGGGGCUAAUACCGGAUAGGAGCUCCUGCUGCAUGGUGGGGGUUGGAAAGUUUCGGCGGUUGGGGAUGGACUCGCGGCUUAUCAGCUUGUUGGUGGGGUAGUGGCUUACCAAGGCUUUGACGGGUAGCCGGCCUGAGAGGGUGACCGGCCACAUUGGGACUGAGAUACGGACCAGACUCCUACGGGAGGCAGCAGUGGGGAAUAUUGCACAAUGGGCGGAAGCCUGAUGCAGCAACGCCGCGUGCGGGAUGACGGCCUUCGGGUUGUAAACCGCUUUCGCCUGUGACGAAGCGUGAGUGACGGUAAUGGGUAAAGAAGCACCGGCUAACUACGU